CGUGUGCAAGUUAUUACAGGGACGUGUGCUCUUGCCAAGACGAAAGCUGUAUUUAAGCUUCGCAGAACCUCUUUGCGCUACGAGGAACACGCUUGCACCAGCGGACUUCCAACCAUGGCUGCCAUGAGGAUUACAUGCCUCUUCUGAUGCUGAAUUCCUUCGAAUCCUCACAGAUCGCCCUCUUGAUCGCCUUGAUUAUCGGUGUUACCUCGGCCGGAGGUCACUACGGUGGUUACGCCGGAGGCCACAGGCACUAUGGUGGCGGCUACGGCAUAGGACACAGUGGACACCACCACAAGAGUUACGGUGGACACCACCACGGCUACAGUCACGGACAUGGCGGUUACGGCGGCGGAAAGCACUACGGAGGAAUGGGACACCGGGGCAAAUACCAUGGAUGAGAUGGUUACGUACAGCACGGAUGAGCGAAGCAAGCUUUCUACUACGUUCAUUUCUGUUGACCUAUUUCAGUAAAGUUUAUGUGAAGAUUA